rnacentral:rRNA from 1 species
UAAACGCUGGCGGCGUGCUUAACACAUGCAAGUCGACCGAAGUUUUUCUUUCGGGAGGAACUUAGUGGCGGACGGGUGAGUAACGCGUGGGUAACCUGCCCUGUACAGGGGGACAACAGCUGGAAACGGCUGCUAAUACCGCAUAAGCCCUUAGCACUGCAUGGUGCAUAGGGAAAAGGAGCAAUCCGGUACAGGAUGGACCCGCGUCUGAUUAGCCAGUUGGCAGGGUAACGGCCUACCAAAGCGACGAUCAGUAGCCGAUCUGAGAGGAUGUACGGCCACAUUGGGACUGAGACACGGCCCAGACUCCUACGGGAGGCAGCAGUGGGGAAUAUUGCACAAUGGAGGAAACUCUGAUGCAGCGACGCCGCGUGAGUGAAGAAGUAUUUCGGUAUGUAAAGCUCUAUCAGCAGGAAAGAAAAUGACGGUACCUGACGAAGAAGCACCGGCUAAAUACGUG